AUGUUUAGUAGAAGCAUGUCUUUCUCAAAGAAACUAACAUUGGUUUUAUUACUUUCUUCUUUUCUCAUCCAUGCAUCUUUUGCUGAGAUGGUAUGCGAGGAUUUGCCGAAAGAAGUGUGUACUUUUUCGAUAGCUUCAUCUGGGAAGAGAUGUUUGUUGGAGACGCAGAAAGGAAUCAAUGGUGAAAUUGAGUAUAAAUGUAGAACAUCUGAAGUUGUGGUGGAGAGAAUGUUGGAGUAUACAGAGACAAAUGAGUGUGUGGGAGGAUGUGGUGUUAGUAGUAUUGAAAGUCCUUAG